ACACAUUAAAAAAUGUGAAAUAUCCACCAUAUAUACUCUUGUGUAUAACUGGUAUCAGUUGAUCAGAUUCUGAACUACAGUUCAUAGAGUCUGACAACUUGAAGAAAGCUGAUUGAGAAUGCAUGCCAUGUUGAUUAACUUCCGUGGGUGCUACUCAACAGCAAAAGGAACUAGCUGAAUGAGUKUGCAUGUGCCAUGUUGAUUAACUUCCGUGGAUGCUACUCAACAGCAAAAGAAAUCUAUUCUAUUGAUCGGUCGACUUCCUGGCAUACAUACACCAUGUAUUGCCUAGUGUCCCAGAUAGAUAGAUGGUAAGCAAAACACAAUAUUGUGUUUGCUCAGUGUCAAAAUGAAAAUGACAAAAUAGCCAAUACUAAAUGUGAUCAUUAGCCAGCAAGAAUAUAAA
rnacentral:misc_RNA from 1 species